GCCCUUCUGGUGGAAUGGUAGACACGAAGCAUUCAAAAUGCUUUGCCUCACGGCGUCCCGGUUCGAAUCCGGGGAAGGGCA
rnacentral:tRNA from 1 species